CCUACGGGCGGCUGCAGUGGGGAAUAUUGGACAAUGGGGGCAACCCUGAUCCAGCCAUGCCGCGUGUGUGAAGAAGGCCCUCGGGUUGUAAAGCACUUUCAGUGAGGAAGAACGCCUGGUGGUUAAUACCCAUCAGGAAAGACAUCACUCACAGAAGAAGCACCGGCUAACUCCGUGCCAGCAGCCGCGGUAAUACGGAGGGUGCGAGCGUUAAUCGGAAUUACUGGGCGUAAAGCGCGCGUAGGUGGUUUGAUAAGCCGGUUGUGAAAGCCCCGGGCUCAACCUGGGAACGGCAUCCGGAACUGUCAAGCUAGAGUGCAGGAGAGGAAGGUAGAAUUCCCGGUGUAGCGGUGAAAUGCGUAGAGAUCGGGAGGAAUACCAGUGGCGAAGGCGGCCUUCUGGACUGACACUGACACUGAGGUGCGAAAGCGUGGGUAGCAAACAGGAUUAGAUACCCCUGUAGUC
rnacentral:rRNA from 1 species